AUUGAACGCUGGCGGUAGGCCUAACACAUGCAAGUCGAACGCGAAAGUCCUUCGGGAUGAGUAGAGUGGCGGACGGGUGAGUAACGCGUAGGAAUCUAUCCUGUAGUGGGGGAUAACGUUUCGAAAGGAACGCUAAUACCGCAUACGCCCCAAGGGGAAAAGCGGGGGAUCUUCGGACCUCGUGCUAUAGGAGGAGCCUGCGACGGAUUAGCUAGUUGGUGAGGGAAAGGCUCACCAAGGUGACGAUCCGUAGCGGGUCUGAGAGGAUGAUCAGCCACACCGGAACUGAGACACGGUCCGGACUCCUACGGGAGGCAGCAGUGGGGAAUAUUGCGCAAUGGGCGAAAGCCUGACGCAGCCAUACCGCGUGUGUGAAGAAGGCCUUCGGGUUGUAAAGCACUUUCAGUGGGGAGGAAAAGCUGGUGGCUAAUAUCCAUCGGCCGUGACGCUACCCACAGAAGAAGCACCGGCUAAUUCCGUGCCAGCAGCCGCCGUAAGAC
rnacentral:rRNA from 1 species